CGCAGCACCGUCGCCGUCACGACCACCAUCGCCGCCGCCGCCAACGUCAAGCAGAGCACGACAACGACGAUGGCUGGGACUUCCUCUUCAUCCAACGCGUCAACCGGUCACAUCCCUAAACCCUUUCCCUUAUUCUCUAUUGUUGUUCAAUCAUCCAUCGCAAAUAGAACCACCCGACUAGAUCUAAACCUAGGUGAUCCAAUAGACAACUCUAACAAUGGUAUCAGAGCCAUCCUAGCGUUUAUUUUUGGUUCGGGGAUAGACAUCCACAGAGAAGAAAGAAAUCCAAAGCAAAGAAAAGCAAACGAUCCAACGGAUCGAAAAGAUCGAAACCCUAACCCUAAUCUUACCUCGUCGCCGGCCACGGAGGGGGAGAGGGGCAAAGAGGCACCGCCGAGGAGCCACUCGACAGCCGCGCGCGCACCCGCGGGUGCACGCGCGCGCCGGCGAGGGGGCCCGCGGCGGCGCCACCAUCUCCGUCGUCGCCGGUCUCUCACUCUUCACUCGCGUGGAGGGGUGAGACGGUGGGGGGGAGAAGAGAAAAGAAUAGAGGGCGUGGCGGCGCGAGAGCGUCUGCCAUGGCGCGACGGCGCGAAGGCUGCCGGCGUCGGCGACGCCGCUCGGCACGGCGCACGCCCGCAAGAGAAAGGAGAGGGCGCCGCGGCACAACCGCUCGACGGCGGCGCACUCACCCUUGAGUGAGUGCGCGCAUCGGCGAAGGGGAGUGCGACGGCGCCGCCGUGUCGCCAUGCCGCCGCCGGCGCUGUGCUAGGGUUCCGGCGACGGCGUCGCCGCUCCGUGCACCCGCAAGAGAGAAGAGAAGGAGAAGCUAGGGUUUCGGCGGCCGGUCGGGGCGAGAGGGGGUUUUGAUCCCCGUUUUCGGCGCCCGACCGUCCGAUCAUAAACCCUAAGAUCGGACGGCCGGUGGCGGCCGGGCCAAAAAUGGCCCAAGAAGGGAGCGCGCGGCGGCGGUUUUCCCGGCCCAGGCCCAAGUUGCGGCCUGGGAAAGGGGAGGGGCCGCUCGCCCGCGCGCAAGGCGGCCGUGGGCCGACCGGCAAAGGCCGAAAAAAAAAAUUCAAUUUAGGUCCCUCGGGGCCGAAAGAAAAAGAAAAGAAGUUUAAUAAAAGUCCCUCGGCCGAAGGAAGCAUUUUCAAUAUGUUUAAUGAUUGUGUUUAUUUCUAAGCAAUUUGAACCAACGUGAAAAUUGUUUAGAUAACAGAUAAAUGUGAGAAAUGCUUCUGAACAUGUAUUUUGUAUAUUUUCAUGCAAAUUACAAUAGAAUUUUGAAUUGUUCUUACAUGUUUUACCUCUGUUUAAAUUUGAACCAACGGGAGAAUUUUUACAGAGAGUAAACAACAGAGUUUUGUUAUUGUUUAUAUGAAUUGUAUAUAGAUCUUCCGCUGCAAACAGAUGAAAUUGAUGAAAAUUAGUGUUUCUAAAAUUAAAUUUCGAACCAACGGGAGAUUUUAAUUUUAGGAACAUUAAUUAUGUGCUAUGAUGUUGUAAUUUUUCUGACCAACGUUGAUAAUUGCAAUGUUAUAGUUAUGGCUUUAUGUGUUAUGUCUAUUUUCUGCCCAACGGUGAUGUAGACUUAAUACAUAAUAAUUUUAAUGUUAAUUUUGUUCUCACAAUACAUGAUUAUCUCAGAUGGCUACUCCUUGAUGGGUUACAUUAAAGAUAUUCCGACCCUGAAAGGAGAUAACUACGAAGAAUGGAAAAGAGAACUCGACCUUGCUUUUAUCUUGGGAGAGGUGGACUGGGUGUUGACUACCCCAUGUCCUAUAGAACCUGCUGAAAUUUUCAGAGGUGAAAAAGAGUCAGAUGCUGAAUGGCAAAAGAGAGAGAGGGACAAUGCUUCCCUCAUCAUGUCGUAUGACAUUGAGCAUGCGAAAUGGUCUUCAGCCAACAAGAAUUGUUUGGCUGCGGUAAAGAACACGAUUGAGCCAACCAUAUUGGGCUCAAUCCCAGAGUAUGACACUGUCUCUAAGUACCUCGAAAGUAUAAAGAGCCGGUUUACUGGUUCUUCAAAGUUUUAUGCGACACAGCUGAUAAAGCAGCUUGUUACAGAGAGGUACCAUGGAGGUGGUGUAAAAGACCACAUUCUUAGGAUGAGCAACAUGGCUUCCAAAUUGAAGCAAAAAGAUUUGGGCAUCUCAGAUGACUUUCUGGUCCAUCUGGUUUUGUCCUCAUUGCCAAAGAACUUUGACAACCUUGUUGUCAACUACAAAAUAAGUACAGAGAAUUGGAAUAUUGAAGAGCUCAUCUCUAAUUGUGUGCAAGAGGAGGAAAGACACAAAGAGACCAAUGGUGACUCCAUUAACCUUGUCAAAGAUAACAAGGAAAAGAGCCACAGGUCACCCUCCUCAAAAGAAAAACAGCCUCAGCAUCUGCCUCAGAAGCAACAGUUUACAGUUGAGACAAGAUCAGUGUCUACAUUGCAAGAAGACAAGACAUUCCAAGAAAGAUCAUCCUGACUUCCUGACAGUGAUCAUGGCAAAGAAAGGGAUUCCGUUCAAUGAGGACUACGCAAAGAAGUGAAAGAUCCAUUAGAGUUGCCAAUAGAGUUGAAGCAAAAGUUGAGGCUGUUGGAGAUCUUCGCCUAGAACUCGCGAAUGGCUUCACACUUUUACUUCCAGACGUUUUUAUGUCCCUUCUUUGCAAAGAAACUUGAUAAUAAGUGUAUCCAAAUUGGAUUUUGAUAGAUAUGAUUGCCAUUUUGGAAAUGGCAAAUGUGAACUAUGGUAUAAUAAUGAAUGUAUUGGUCUUAUGUUGCAAGAUCAGCUUUAUUUGUUA